rnacentral:rRNA from 1 species
GGUGCAUGACGCGCUUGAUCGUCUCUUGCCUUGUGUGUCAACGCCAGUUCGCGAUCGAGGAAAACUCCAGGGUCAUGGUAGCUCGUCUACGGGUGAGUGAAUAGCCUUGGCAGAACUCAUUUGCGGACUGUUUCUUUCGUGUCUGGUUGCAGUGUCCUUGGCAUUCUGGAAGCUCGUCUUGGCUUGCCACUGGCGGGGGACCUGGGUGACUUGGGCAUUUCCCUGACACAAAGACGAUGACUAAUGGUUCUAUUCGACCCGUCUUGAAA